CGGUACCUGACUAAGAAGCCCCGGCUAACUACGUGCCAGCAGCCGCGGUAAUACGUAGGGGGCAAGCGUUAUCCGGAUUUACUGGGUGUAAAGGGAGCGCAGACGGCACUGCAAGUCUGAAGUGAAAGCCCGGGGCUCAACCCCGGGACUGCUUUGGAAACUGUAGAGCUAGAGUGCUGGAGAGGCAAGCGGAAUUCCUAGUGUAGCGGUGAAAUGCGUAGAUAUUAGGAAGAACACCAGUGGCGAAGGCGGCUUGCUGGACAGUAACUGACGUUGAGGCUCGAAAGCGUGGGGAGCAAACAGGAUUAGAUACCCU
rnacentral:rRNA from 1 species